rnacentral:lncRNA from 1 species
GAAAGUCAGCAGAGAGGGAGGCAGUAUAGCAUGGUAGAAUUUGGAGCGGUGACUGCCUCUCAGAGGGAAUGGACCUAAAAAUGAAAGAGAGAUGGAGGAAGGAGAGGACAAGGGGCUUCUUUGUGAAGAUGAGCAUUCACAUCUGCCUUUGAUCAGGCCCAUGGCAGCCCAGGAUCAGAUCAGAAAGCAAAUGAGAUGAUAAAGUGGAUGAAACCACAGUAAGUAUAAUAUCGAGGGUGGGGGGACAGGGAAGGGGAGAGGCUGCCCCGUGGAGCAUAAAGCCUGCCUGGGCUUUCACAUCAAGGCUGGC